rnacentral:rRNA from 1 species
GUGAGGAAUAUUGGUCAAUGGGCGGGAGCCUGAACCAGCCAAGUCGCGUGAAGGAAGAAGGAUCUAUGGUUCGUAAACUUCUUUUGCAGGGGAAUAAAGUGCAGGACGUGUCCUGUUUUGUAUGUACCCUGAGAAUAAGGAUCGGCUAACUCCGUGCCAGCAGCCGCGGUAAUACGGAGGAUCCGAGCGUUAUCCGGAUUUAUUGGGUUUAAAGGGUGCGUAGGUGGUUUGAUAAGUCAUCGGUGAAAGUUUGCAGCUUAACUGUAAAAAUGCCGUUGAAACUGUCGGACUUGAGUGUAAAUGAGGUAGGCGGAAUGCGUGAUGUAGCGGUGAAAUGCAUAGAUAUCACGCAGAACUCCGAUUGCGAAGGCAGCUUACUAAGCUACAACUGACACUGAAGCACGAAAGCGUGGGGAUCAAACAGGAUUAGAAACCCCAGUAGUCC